rnacentral:rRNA from 1 species
UGCCUUAGUAACGGCGAGUGAAGCGGCAACAGCUCAAAUUUGAAAUCUGGCCCCUCCGGGGUCCGAGUUGUAAUUUGUAGAGAGUGCUUCGGGCGAGGCCUCGGUCUAAGUCCAUUGGAACAUGGUGUCAUAGAGGGUGAGAAUCCCGUAUGCGACCGUGGCUCGAACCCAUGUGAAGCCUCUUCGACGAGUCGAGUUGUUUGGGAAUGCAGCUCAAAAUGGGUGGUAAAUUUCAUCUAAAGCUAAAUACUGGCUGGAGACCGAUAGCGCACAAGUAGAGUGAUCGAAAGAUGAAAAGCACUUUGGAAAGAGAGUCAAACAGUACGUGAAAUUGUUGAAAGGGAAGCGCUUGCAACCAGACCUGCCCCUAGGCGAUCAGCCGCUGUUCUCAGCGGUGUACUCGCUCUGGGAUCAGGCCAGCAUCGGUUUCGGCGGUCGGAUAAAGGCCUUGGGAAUGUAGCUUCCCUUCGGGGGAGUCUUAUAGCCCUCGGUGCAAUGCGGCCAGCCGGGACCGAGGACCGCGCUUCGGCUAGGAUGCUGGCGUAAUGGUUGUAAGCGACCCGUCUUGAAACACGGACCAAGGAGUCUAACAUCUAUGCGAGUGUUUGGGUGUCAAACCCAUGCGCGGAAUGAAAGUGAACGGAGGUGAGAACCCUUGAGGGCGCAUCAUCGACCGAUCCAGAUGUCUUCGGAUGGAUUUGAGUAUGAGCAUAGCUGUUGGGACCCGAAAGAUGGUGAACUAUGCCUGAAUAGGGUGAAGCCAGAGGAAACUCUGGUGGAGGCUCGCAGCGGUUCUGACGUGCAAAUCGAUCGUCAAAUUUGGGUAUAGGGGCGAAAGACUAAUCG